UUCAAACUUUUAACUUUACUCAUCGCCGGAAUCUUUAAAACAUAAUUCAUCAACUGUAUAUUCACUAUACCCCACUUCAUGUGCUUCUAUGCUAUUAUAGUUACUUUACAAAAUAAUAGUAAAGCUACAUCUCGUAUUCAAAAAGAUUAUUUCUAUUCAACAUAAUUACUGGGUAUAACAACAUUUACACUACUCAAUUAAAUCACUUUACAGCAAGUAGCCUCAGCUCGGUACAGUCUAAACUUGAUGAAGCAAUACAUCUUUAAUACUCAUGUCUCAUCACAAAUCUUCGUUGUUAUGACCAUCUGAUAAAUCAACAUUUAUCUGCAUAAUUGUUUGCAAGAUUGAGCACUACGACCCAACAAGUCUAACAGUUUUCAUGCUUCACACAGCACAUAAUAUCAUGCUUAUAUCAUAUCUCAAGAUUAUUAUAAUUUAAGUAACAUUUGUAUUUCACACAUAUUAAAUAUCAAAUCAAGACUGAGUUUUAAAAACUCAAUCAAAUUUAGUCAAUAGUUGACUUUCAUCAUUCCACAAGUAUAACAUGUAAUCCAUGUAAUCAUGUCAAAUUCAUAUAACAAAUAGGAACAGGAAAACUUGACUUUUUGAUGCGAAGCUAUUAAUUUUACGCGAUUACACGUAUUCGAGGUAUUAUGCUCCUGUAUAGCACCAAUAUACACAUAAUGUUAUUACAAUGUUACAUUACCAUAUUCUACAAAUUCUAUUUAAAUUUGUGUUUUGCAAGUCUAAUAUCUCAUUCUUAACUUCUCUUAUUUUAAUAAGUUUGCUACAUAUGUAUGUGGUAUAAAUCUUAUUAGCUUUUACUAGGUUAAUAAACCAACCCACUUAUUUUUCAAAUACUUCAUCCAUGCUUAAAUGUGAAUUUUUUUAUUGGUACCUCAUUGAAUACAAAGAUAGGAAAAAAUAAAUACACCUUCGAUUAAACAAGGCUAGCUUUUCCUUGUAUAAUCAAAAUAUAACACAUUAGUUACAACAUGCCUCCUCACUUCAUUUGAGACUAACUAUAUUAACUUAAAAAUCUUUCAGUUUGUACAACUAAUUAUAAUCGAACCCCACACUUUUCAACUUUAUACUUUUAUAAUCUUAAGUUCUUAAGAUUUUACAAUGUUUUAGAUUAAUUAACUAAUCCUUAAUCCGUUUCUGAAUUUAUUUCAUCAUGUCGUUGCUAUUUUGCAUUAUUAAUGUCGUGCAUAUUACUUUAUGUAUUAAAGCUUAUUGCUUAACAUGAAACACAUUCCAUAAUUUCAACUCAACUCGAACAUAUUAAGAUUAACAACUGAAUUCUAAUUUAUCAACCAUAUUGGGUUCAAUUAAUGGUCCAAUUAUAAAUUAAUUAUAUAUUAUUAUAUAUCUUAACUCUUUUAAUGCUCAACAACACCCACAAUCAAAAUCAAAACGCAAGGCGAAACGCUGCCCGACAGCUGGUUGCCAGGCGUCUACCCAUGUGUUGCACGCUGCUAGGCCAACUACCUGGUGCAGCUGCUGCCCUGCCCCCAACUCCGCCUUAUCAUAAUGGUUACUUUGUGAUUUUAAAACUUUAAAUCUACAUUUUCAUUAACCUUCAAACUUGGGCAGCAUUAAGAUUGUAUAACUCUUCUAAUUUGGGCAUCCUAGACAGGUUAAACAGAGGGCUAAAACUGCCUUGUCAAAACAGUUUUCAAUUUUUUUUCCCAACUGUACCCUCUCUUGCUCAAACAGCCAUAACUUUUUAGUUUCAAAACAUUUUUGAGCGAUUCUUGAGCCCACGCGAAGCUAACUUCCGGGACUACAACUCCUAUUUAAUAACCUUUUCCAAAUUUUGCACCCAUAAUUCCAGAAAAUUCUUGUAAGGGGCUGCUUCGAAUCUGUUUUCCAGAUUUGGGCAGUUUCGACGCACCCACUUUGGCACAUCUUAACUCAGUUGUCCGAACUCAGAAUUAGUCCGUUCCAAAGGUUAUGGCUAUCUGGGAUUGCACACUACUAGACCCCAGAAACUUAAAAUUUCCCAGAAAAUAUAACUAUCCGAAACAGUUAGCCAAAUGUAGUCCAACACACUAACUUUUAAAAUUUUCGUUUUGGCUUAAAAUUGCUUUUCGUUCUAAUUCGAUUUACCCAAACUCUUUAAUUAUUUAUAUAUAACAUAUAUGCAUAUAUCUUGAGUCUUAGCUCUUCCUAAUUAGGAGUUUUUAGGCAAAAUGGCCCUUUUAGGACUUUAAUCGAACACGUCGUGUGCGACUCUAUAAUGGGUUGAGAUCAUGUGGUUUUGUUUUUGUUUCAUUCCCAUUUCGUCAUCCUUAUAACUCCGCACAACAAUUACUAAACUCCAUGGUUCUAAUAUCAAUCCACUACAACCAAUACACAAAGAAAACUAUACAUACUAUCUAUUUCAUAAAUUAGUUUACUAACUUUGAAACUUUGAACAAAUUUCAUUCCUUUAGUUUCUAAAACAUACCUUAUAUUAUAAACUUCAUUGAGCUUAGUUACCAAUUGAUUUCGUAGCCCAUUCACAUACAAAUUAACUAUUUAACUAAUUAUCUACAUAUACUAACUAACUGAUUCAAUUUAUCAUGAAUUUCAUAAAAAAAACAUAAUACAUACUAAUAUAUACCUUUCUUGCUUAGUUAUGGUUUCACUAUCUUUUAUGCUUUAUUCCAGCUGCCCAAUCAAUUCUUGAAGAUUCUAUUUUCGUUUUAGCCGAACAGAGUGGGAUGGAAUUACGCACGGAUGGACUGAGGAUUGAAAGGGAAAGUGGCGGGUGGAGUUUGGCCAGGAAAGAGUAGAAAAUUUUAGUUUGGUUUUGAAUUUAUAGCAACCCUUUCCUUGUUCCCCAAAAAUUUUGCUUGACAUUACGUAUAAGGAUUUUUGAAUUUUAAGCGCCAACUCCUACUUAAUAAAGUUUUUGUUUAACACAGCUCAUGUUUUAUCUCUUACUGACUCAGCUGCUUGUUUUAUUUUCCCCGACUCUUAUAUUAUUUCCUCUUUUUUCUCUCUAAACUUAGCCAAUUUGGCUUAAAAAUAAAUAUAAGUAAAUUUUAAUUUUGCUUAUAUAAAAACUACUUUCAAUUUUUAUAAGUUGGCCAACUUAAGUCUUCUCUAGUCUUCCCCCUAGUCUUUUAAAGCUUGCAAAUCACCCUUGAUAUAUUCUUAGCAUAUUCUCAGAAUAUUCUUUAUUCCUUAACAUAUUCCUUAAAAUAUUUUCUUAAGUUUCAAAUUUUAAGUUUUUAACCCUAAGGUAUUCUUAACUCGCACAAUUCCCCCUUAACUUUUAUAAUUCACUUCCAUACUUUAUUAAGUUAUUUAAUUACCCAAUCUUAGUAACUUAAUUUAAUUAAAUAAGUUACUACAUAAAUUUCCUUAAUUUAUUUUACUCUCUCGGAAUUAUAUAAUUUACAUAACCCAUCUUUGAUAUAUAAAUUAUAUAAAAUAUAACAUAACAUAUUCAAAUUAAAUAUUUAUUUUAUAAAUGUAAAAUAAAUAUGCUACACAUAAUUUCUUAUGUAAAUAGAAUUAUUAACAUACCCAAGAUAUUAUAAUAUAAUAUCCUUACUUCAUUAUCAUAAAUUCAAUUAAGAAUUUAUUUAUUUUCUUAAGAUAUUAAGCUAAAUAUAAUAUCUUUUCUUUAUUAAAUUAAUUUUAUAUAUGAAUUUAUUCUAAUAGUCUUGGGUAAAGUAUAUAUAAAUAUUAUAUGCUUAACCCGUCUCUUUUUGCCUCAUUACUCAAAUUGUUCCCAAUAAUUUUAUUUCUCUGUGUAAUAUAUAUAUAUAUAUAUAUAUAUAUAUAUAUAUAUAUUAACUUGCAAAUAUUCUUUAUAAUGCACAUGUACUCACAUCACAUAUAGAAAAUAAAUAAUAAAUUUAUUCUCUCACCUUAUAAAUUGUUUAUAUCAAUUUAUUUAUAUAUAGUAAGUAUAACUUAAUAUAUUUACCUUAUAAAUGGAAAUUUAUUCAGUAAAUAAGAUAUUAUAAUUAAAAUAAUAUCUUUUCUUUAUUAAAAUAAUUCAACUCUAGAAUUUAUUUUAAUAUCAUUUAUUUAAAGUAUACAAUAAUUCUUGUAUAUUAAUUACUUUGUUUUCCCUUCUAUAAAUUGUUUUCAACAAUUUAACUAUAAUAAAUAUAAUAAUAUAAUUACUACAUUAAAACAUACAUACCUUACGUCCAAUAAUGUAAUACAUGAUUUCUUCAAUAAAAGGGUGGUUAUACAUUAAGUAUAUAUUUAAUGCCACCAAUUCACCACAUUAAAAUAAUUUAAUAUUAUAGAUUAUUUUAAUUCUACCCAUCUCAUUUCCUUUAAUAAAUUGCCCUUACAAUUUAUUUACAUAUAAUAAAUAUAUAAUACCAAUAUAUUUAUUAAGCAUAAACAUCACAUAUUGCAUAGUUCAUACCCACUUAUGCAAUAUAAUAUCAUACAACAUAUUAUCUAAUAAGAAUUUUAUUUAUUUAAUUCUUAUUUUAAUAUUACCCAAAAAUUUGGGUUAUCACAUUUUUCCCCCUUAUAAGGAUUCCGUCCCCGAAAUCAUAAUACCGAAUCCUUCUUAAUCGGUUUAGAUCAUAUUCUUUCUCGUCACAUUAUCGUUGAAUCAUUUCAACGUACCAUUUCCUUAGAUUUUUUCAAAAUUUAAAAUAAAUCAUCUAUUUUCACUCUAGGUUUUAAACUUUAACCUUUCAUUUAAUCAUUCAAGAUUUUUCUAAAUUUUUGGGUUGUCGCAUUCACCCUUUCUUCUAAGAAUUUUGUUCCUGAAAUUAUAGUCUACUAAUCUUUGCUUCUUCUAUUCACCGAAAAUAGGUUUUCAAUUUAACCUUUACAUUUUCCUCCUCUGAGGAUUUCUCAUCUAUCAUCUCAUUCAACCAUUUCUACCCGUUUGAAGAAGUUAAAAACUUUUCAUAUUAUGCUGAGGGGUCAUAUAGACCAUGAACUCUCAAGUUUAACGGUAUUCACCGCAAUCAAUUAUGUAAACAUGUUGUACUAGGUGAUCAACCUAGUACAGAUACGAGUACGUUAGGUGAUCAGCCUAUUGUACCCUACGUCCUGCACAACAUAUCAAUCUUAUUUAACGACUAUUUGCGCUACUAGAUUGGAUUAUUUUAUCCAAUCGGGAUUGUUCACCUCAGACUUAGCAUAAGAUUCCGUACCAAAACAAUUUGGUUCGGGAUAAAUUCUCAAAGAAUACUUGAAUUUUCAUAAACAAUUUCGUAGCUGAAUCAAAUAGCUUAGACGCAUAUCAAUAAUUCGAACAUCAAUCGAAACAUUUGUCUAGCCACUAUAAUUGACAUUGACUUUUCUUUAACUAGUCUAAAAUUCUGAAAAUCAUUUUAUGAUGUCAUGAUACCGCACUGUAUUUACAGUUCGUUUGAGAAUUCCGUCAUUUGUUGAUUUUAUCAUACUACAUCAUACCAUAGUGGGCUGACGAUCCUUAGAUCACAUCCAACACUAAGUAAUACUGCAUUGUUGACUCCAUCGUUUUUAUCAUCUCUGCACUAGGUUCCAUGAUGCAUUGAUGAUAUAUAAAAUAUAUUUUGAUAUAUUUCAAAUCAUUUUUGUCUAGCCAAAGCAAUUAGCAUAGACUCUUCUUUAAUGGUUCAAAACCAUUGAAAAUCAAUUUUAGUGUUAUCAUGUCGUAACAGAUAAUGAGAUGUUAGUGGUUCACAGUCCACAUACACACCUUUGUCACCGUAUGUUAUUGAUAACAAAAUUUAUUUUUAAAGGCACCAUAGUGCGAAUUUAGCUUGAUGUCAAAAAUUUUGAAGUCUAGCAUAGCUAGAAGAUUUGGAAUACAUAUGCUUCCACCAUCAACUUCAAUUUCUCUAAUGAUCCAUUGCUUAAUAAGUCUAUCUAUUCUUAUCAUCCUCAAUACUCCAUUCAUACUUAGUUAUACCCCAGUUCAUCAAACUUACUACACUUUGAAAAUCCAGGAACUUGCCAUAAUCAUAUGAGUUUAGAAACUUAUCCUAGUCAGACCAUAGGCGUCCAUUCGUUGAGGGGUUCAAAACAUAUCAUAUGAUUAUGAGUCACGAACUUACCAUAUGCAUUAGUUUUAAGAACCGUACCUAAUCUUAAUAUCAUCUAACCUAAUCUUGUUUUCUCUACCUAUCCGUUAUACACAUGAGAAAAGAAUCACCUUCUCAACAAGUAUAUAGUAAAUAGCGCGACACAAACAUUUCAAUGAUUAUCACUGCCAGAAGCUAAGUGGUUGUUACACCAAGUACAAUUCCCCGCCCAUACAAAGAAUCAUACAACUUAGCUGCUGACACAAGUUCUCAAUUGAAAUCCCACCGAAUUCUAGCUUCCCCUUACUCAAUACAAAUUUUAUUUAAUCCGUAUCUCAUUAUCUACAACUCUUUUCUGAGUUUGCAUAGUACCAUUUCAUAGUACAUUCUCUUUAUAGUGUCAUGCUAUAUCAUUCCAAUCAUUUCAUAGAUUUUUUGCUAUUCAAUCUGAUCACGCCGUGAUCUUAUCUUAUAAUCGUGUUAUAUUACGGUUCUCUUAUAUCUUAUGAUCGUUUUGUUUUACGAUCUCCUUUCCCUUUAUACUUUUAGUCUCAUAGACUCUAUCUAUUCAUUAUUACUUUUUGUCUUUAACAUCAGAGUUAGGUAACUCUAGAUCUUUAUAACUUUUUAAGAUUCUUCUUUGAAUCUUAUUUACUAAAUAAUGAAUUUUCCAAAUUCAUCUCUUAACAAAUUAAACCCUAUUUGAGUUUAUUCCUUAUCCUUAUCACUAUGGUUAUAGCCUAAGGUACACCUACCUAAGGUUUAUAACUUACAACUUUGAUACCAACUGUAACGCCCCCAAAAUCGGGACUAUUUUUUUCUCGAUCUUGUGCGUUAAUAUUAUCUUGUUCUAGCUUUAAAACAUUAUUUAAUGUUAAAAUAGCUAAAAAUAUGGAAUAAUUUUUUUUUUCUUUCCAUUCAUUCAUUCCCUGAAUCGCAACCUUUACAAUUCUUCUUUAUAAUAGAAUCAUAUUUAUUUUAUGAUUUAUUUUAUCAAAGUAACAUAUGAAUAUAUACAACUCACCUCUCUUCAAACAAAUAUUCCUUAUUCAAUAAACAUUUCAAACUGUACAUAGUUGUCUUUUAGUCAUAUCUAGAAUCAUGAGAAUCUUCAUCUAUAUUUCUCUACAAUUUCUAAAUAAAGAAGAGAUACCCUUUGUACGUCUUCCAAUCGUUAUCAUCUGGUCAGCUAUAGAUCAUAUCACAUUUCAAACAUGCAAAAAUAUAAUUUUUGCAACUCUAUCAUAUCUUGAAUCUAUAUCAUGAUUCAACUUGUAUAUCACAGUCAAUAUCAAUAUAGAUAUACAAAUUUAGUUAUUAAAAUUUUCUUAGUUCCAGAAUUCGCAGCUGUUAUAAUCUAUACUCAUAUUCAGGAUUAUAUAAAUAUAAAGACCCAUUCCGAAAAGUCUCAUUUGAACAUAAGGUUCAAACUUUUAACUUUACUCAUCCCGGAAUCUUUAAAACAUAAUUCAUCAACUGUAUAUUCGCUAUACCCCACUUCAUGCACUUCUAUGCUAUUAUAGUUACUUUACAAAAUAAUAGUAAAGCUACAUCUCGUAUUCAAAAAGAUUAUUUCUAUUCAGCAUAAUUACUGGGUAUAACAACAUUUACACUACUCAAUUAAAUCACUUUACAACAAGUAGCCUUAGCUCAGUACAGUCUAAACUUGAUGAAGCAAUACAUCUUUAAUACUCAUGUCUCAUCACAAAUCUUCGUUGUUAGGACCAUCUGAUAAAUCAACAUUUAUCUGCAAAAUUGUUUGCAAGAUUGAGCACUACGGCCCAACAAGUCUAACAGUUUUCAUGCUUCACAUAGCACAUAAUAUCAUGCUUAUAUCAUAUCUCAAGAUUAUUAAAAUUUAAGUAACAUUUGUAUUUCACACAUGUUGACAUUGUCAUAUUUCAUCCUUAUGUUUUGAUGAUGAAAUGUUUAAAUACUAAAUUGUUUUAUGAUGUUUCAGGUAUUUGUUGAUAAAACAACAUUGACGGAAUUUUCAAUUAGACGAAGAACUUUUUCUUUCUAGGAAAACAAAUGUAAGAUCAAUUGCAUAAUAAUUGAUUUUUCAUUUAAAGGCUAUAGGACAUAUUAUUUGCGUUAUAUUUUGUUAUAUGUCUUAAAUGAAAAAUGAUUUAAAAAGAAUUCUUAUGAAAAAGGUUUUUCUAAAAAUAAUAUAUCACUUAAAAUAUUAGCUUGUAUGUCUAAUAGAUUACAUAAGUGAUAUAUGGGUGAUUAAUUGAAAUGCUACACGUGGAUAUCUAGAGGUUGUCAGCUAUACUUUAUGAUUUGUUGCACGUGCAUAUCCGGUUGUGAUAUGAGUACUUCAUGCUUGCUAACCAUUUAUUGUGAUAAGAUGUUUGUGAGAGUUUCAAGGAGAAAUAAUUAUGGGUAUCUUGGAUUUUUAAAAGACCUUGAUUCUUGAAAAAGAUAUGGAAUGGUUCACUCCACUAUUUCACACGUCACAUACCACUUUAUGAGAUAAAGUCAAAGAUUGUUUUUAAGUGGGUUACUUGAAUAGGCUUUGGAAAUCAUAUAUAGAGUAUUACUUGUGGUGGCAGGAGUUAUGAUGACAAAGACAUAAAUGCAAGAACUCUAUUUCAGAUAAUCAGUCAAACAUAUAUCUGUUAUAUAAGAGUUAUUUUCGGAUCUAUUUCAAACUGAUUAUUUUUUAUCCGAGUAAAAAGCUUUUAACGAAAAUAAUUCUGGAACAUCACUUAUCUUAAAUUCUGUUGGCAACGUAAAUAAAUUUACAACGGAUCUUUGCAUACAACAGAAAUAUUUUUAGCUAUAAAAGAAGUACUGAGAUCAGUGUUUGGUACACAACUCACGAAAAUAUUUCUUUCACUUAUUACUGUUAUUAUCGAGCAAAUUGAUUUUGUCAAUGCAAUCUUUGAGAAGCUAAGCAAUUAAAUUUCUGAUAUUAUUUGAGCUGGUAUUUGGUAAGAAAUUAAUUGUUUAUUUAUUUUGUGCUAAUUGAUCAUUGCAUAUAGUUGAGCCUUUAAUUGUUAAAUUGAUUAUUUUUGUAUUGAUCAUAGACCUCUAUAUUUGUAUUGGAUUUUUAUUUAGACUAAGUGUAGUCUAAAGGUGUUAAUCCUAGUGGAUUAGAGAAAAGGGUUACAAACAGGUUCAAGGAAGCAAAGGUGCUUGAAGAGUGCAUAGGUGCAUAAGGAGCAAGAGAGCUCAAGAGAAAAUUAAGUGUUAAUUAAUUUUUGUUAGAAUCUGUUUUGUAAUCUGUAUUUAUUUAUAAAGAAAUAAAUAAAGUGAGUCUCCAAUACUAGUUGGUAUUGGGCGUGGACUAGAUUAUUAUUAUAGAGGGUAAUAGCUGAACCACGUAAAAAAUCUUGGUAUUGAUUUUAUUAUUUGCUUUACUUUAAAAUCACAUAAGCUAUUUUAAUUAUCUUAAUAAUUAAAAUUUGAAUACUUAUAUUAUAUUAAGAUAUCUCUUUAACAUAAAGUAUUUUACUUAAGAUAUAAAUUCAGUAGGAUAUUUUCUUUAAUAUGCUAUAUUAAUUCAGUAAGCUGAUUUCAAUCAUUAUAGUAGCCUGAAGUUAAUAAUUUAAUUUAAAGUUUAAAAGUUGGUCAUAGAUUGCUCCCACACUUAUUCAACCCCCCCUUCUAAGUGUGCCUAGAUAAAUUUCAACACAUAUCAAAUAUCAAAUCAAGACUGAAUUUUAAAACUCAAUCAAAUUUAGUCAAUAGUUGACUUUCAUCAUUUCACAAGUAUAACAUGUAAUCCAUGUAAUCAUGUCAAAUUCAUAUAACAAAUAGGAGCUGGAAAACUUACCUCUUUGAUGCGAAGCUAUUAAUUUUACGCGAUUACACGUAUUCGAGGUAUUAUGCUCCUGUAUAGCACCAAUAUACACAUAAUGUUAUUACAAUGUAUAACAUUACCAUAUUCUACAAAUUCUAUUUAAAUUUGUGUUUUGCAAGUCUAAUAUCUCAUUCUUAACUUCUCUUAUUUUAAUAAGUUUGCUACAUAUGUAUGUGGUAUAAAUCUUAUUAGCUUUUACUAGGUUAAUAAACCAACCCACUUAUUUUUCGAAUACCUCAUCCAUGCUUAAAUGUGAAUUUUUUUUAUUGGUACCUCGUUGAAUACAAAGAUAGACAAAAAUAAAUACACCUUCGAUUAAACAAGGCUAGCUUUUCCUUGUAUAAUCAAAAUAUAAAACAUAAGUUACAACAUGCCUCCUCACUUCAUUUGAGACUAACUAUAUUAACUUAUAAAUCUUUUAGUUUGUACAGCUAAUUAUAAUCGAACCCUACACUUUUCAACUUUAUACUUUUAUAAUCUUAAGUUCUUAAGAUUUUACCAUGUUUUAGAUUAGUUAACUAAUCCUUAAUCCGUUUCUGAAUUUAUUUCAUCAUGUCGUUGCUAUUUUGCAUUAUUAAUGUCGUGCAUAUUACUUUAUGUAUUAAAGCUUAUUGCUUAACAUGAAACACGUUCCAUAAUUUCAACUUAACUCGAACAUAUUAAGAUUAACAACUGAAUUCUAAUUUAUCAACCAUAUUGGGUUCAAUUAAUGGUUAAAUUAUAAAUUAAUUAUAUAUUAUUAUAUAUCUUAACUCUUUUAAUGCUCAACACCCACAAUCGAAAUCAAAACGCAAGGCGAAACGCUGCUCGACAGCUGGUUGCCAGGCGUCUGCCCAUGCGUUGCACGCUUCUGGGCCAACUACCUGGUGCAGCUGCUGCCCUGCCCCCAGCUCCGCCUUAUUAUAAUGGUUACUUUGUGAUUUUAAAACUAUAAAUCUACAUUUUCAUUAACCUUCGAACUUGGGCAGCAUUAAGAUUGUAUUUCAUAGUAUUUUAGAAAAAUAUAACUCUUCUAAUUUGGGCAUCCUAGACAGGUUAAACAGAGGGCUAAAACUGCCUUGUCGAAACAGUUUUCAAUUUUUUUUUCCAACUGUACCCUCUCUUGCUCAAACAGCCAUAACCUUUUCGUUUCAAAACAUUUUUGAGCUAUUCUUGAGCCCACACGAAGCUAACUUCCGGGACUACAACUCCUAUUUAAUAACCUUUUCCAAAUCCUGCACCCAUAAUUCCAGAAAAUUCUUGUAAGGGGCUGCUUUGAAUCUGUUUUCCAGAUUUGGGCAGUUUCAACGCACCCACUUUGGCACGUCUUAACUCAGUCGUCCGAACUCAGAAUUAGUCCAUUCCAAAGGCUAUGGCUAGCUGGGAUUGCACACUACUAGACCCCUGAAACUUAAAAUUUUCCAAAAAAUAUAACUAUCCAAAACAGUUAGCCAAAAGUAGUCUGACACUAACUUUUAAAAUUUUCAUUUUGGCUUAAAAUUGCUUUUCGUUCUAAUUCGAUUUACCCAAACUCUUUAAUUAUUUAUAUAUAACAUAUAUGCAUAUAUCUUGACUCUUAGCUUUGCCUAAUUAGGAGUUUUUAGGCAAAAUGGCCCUUUUAGGACUUUAAUCGAACAUGUCGUGUGCGACUAUAAUGGGCUGAGAUCAUGUGGUUUUGUUUUUGUUUCAUUCCCAUUUUGCCAUCCUUAUAACUCCGCACAACAAUUACUAAAAUCCAUGGUUCUAAUAUCAAUCCACUACAACCAAUACACAAAGAAAACUAUACAUAUUAUCUAUUUCAUAAAUUAGUUUACUAACUUUGAAACUUUGAACAAAUUUCAUUCCUUUAGUUUCUAAAACAUACCUUAUAUUAUAAACUUCAUUGAGCUUAGUUACCAAUUGAUUUCGUAGCCCAUUAACAUACAAAUUAACUAAUUAACUAAUUAUCUACAUAUACUAACUAACUGAUUCAAUUUAUCAUGAAUUUCAUAAAAAAAAACAUAAUACAUACUAAUAUAUACCUUUCUUGCUUAGUUAUGGUUUCACUAUCUUUUAUGCUUUAUUCCAGCUGCCCAAUCAAUUCUUGAAGAUUCUAUUUUCGUUUUAGCCGAACAGAGUGGGAUGGAAUUACGCAUGGAUGGACUGAGGAUUGAGAGGGAAAGUGGCGGGUGGAGCUUGGCCAGGAAAGAGUAAAAAAUUUUAAUUUGGUUUUGAAUUUAUAGCAACCCUUUCCUUGUUCCCCAAAAAUUUUGCUGGGCCAUUACGUAUAAGAAUUUUUGAAUUUUAAGCCUAUACUUCCUUCUUCAUGCCAACUCCUACUUAAUAAAGUUUCUGUUUAACACAGCUCAUGUUUUA
rnacentral:lncRNA from 1 species